rnacentral:sRNA from 1 species
GAAGGCUGGAGCCAACAGGAAUUGCUUCCAUGGUCGUGGAAUUUUACUGUUUACAGAGACUUCCCUGGGAGGGCUAACUGGGUCAUACCUGCUUUGGGACUUUGGGGCUCAGAGGCAAUGGCAACAUCACAUUUGUCCUUGUGAGAUGAGUUUGAGCGGUGGCUGACACCUGCCCUGUACCAGGUACUAAAUUUGGUUCUGGGGAUACUAUCACCAGUGAGCUGCGUUGGAAAGCUCAUUGUCGGCAGAGGAAACAGGAGAAAACACGCAACAAUACAGUAUUCCAAACAGCAGUGGGUCACUGUCUUUACUUUAGGAUUCAUAAAGCCUGUUAAUGGGUGUGCUGGGGGCACUGUCAUGUUCUUCAGCAUGCUGCCUGGGAGAGGAGGAGGCCCUUCCUAGGGUCUGACCUGGCUUCCCUUCCCAGGUGGGUGCAGGUGGCAUGUCCACGUCUCUCCAUUGACUGGGGCACAGCCUUCCCCAAGCCGCUGCUGACACCCUAUGAGGUAACACCAAGCUCUGGGAGAGAGUGGGCUUUGGACGUGGUUCUCAAAGGUGAGGUCUGGGGUGGAGUGGAGUGGGGUGGGUGGGCAGCAUUUCGUUAUGUUCAUAGAUUGCGGAGUCUGUCUCGAUUUCUCCAACGGAGUCACUUCCUAGCUGUGUAGCCUUAGGCAAGGCCCUGAACCUCUCUGAACCACACAUUUCCCUUCUGUGGCAGGGGACAGUGUGCCCUUCACAGGCCGUCGUGAGGACUGAAUUCAGUAAUCCGGGAGCAGAAAAACACUGGCAAAUGUUAUUGUCCGCUCCCUCCCCUCCCCUAGGCGGCCGUGGCUCUGAGGGACAUUUCCUGGCAGCAGCCCUACCCGAUGGACUUCUACGCUGGCAGCUCCUUGGGGCCCUGGACGGUGAACCACGGCCAGGACCGCCGUCCCCACGCCCCCGGCCGGCCCGCGCGGGGGAAGGUGCAGGAGGAGUCCACGCAUCCCCCUUCAGCCGUGACUUGCGAGGACUGCAGCUGCAGGGACGAGAAGGUGGCGCCGCUUGCUCCUUGACACGCUGCCGGGCCUCAGGUAUCCGCCCCUGCUCUGGCUGCGCCCCGCCUAUUGCCGUUGUCAUGGGAACGCCUUGGCGCUCCGAGGCCCGCCCUCGGGGCGGUGCCGACGUUUGGUUACGCCCCUUGCGUUGUGCUUCCGCUCGGGGGAAGACCGCUUCCGGUGCUUCCGGCGCUCCUUGCCCGGCAUAAUGGCCGCGCAGCGACCCCUGCGGGUCCUGUGUCUGGCGGGCUUCCGGCAGAGCGAGCGGGGCUUCCGUGAGAAGACCGGGGCGCUGAGGAAGGCGCUGCGGGACCGCGCCGAGCUCGUGUGCCUCAGCGGCCCGCACCCGGUCCCCUACCCCCCGAGCCCCGAGGGCGCCAGAUCAGACUUCGGUGAGACAAGCCCCGCUCCGGAAAUGCACUCGGUUUUCUCCAUCUUGUUUCGUCCCCCUCGACACCCUUCAGCAUCCCCCACCCUGCGUCCACCCUCAUUCCUCCCACCCAGUCCACACCCUUCAUUUCUCGCGGCCCAUAUACCCUCUUUGCUCAAACUGCAGCCUGUCCUCCCAGGCUUCCGCCUUCAUUGUCUUCCUCCGCUGUCUCCUGUUCAGGCCAAUCCAUUCAUUCCCCCCUCUCAUUUCCCCCAGACUUUCGCCUCGAUUCCCUCUCUUUUCCUCUCUGUCAUCUCGAACCCUCCUGCCCUUUCUCAUUUCUUUCCUUCCUGGAGCCUCCCAUGCCCUAAUCCCAUCCUCUUUCCUCCUAUCGCUGUAGGGUCCUGCCCUCCGGAGGAGCAGCCUCGAGGCUGGUGGUUUUCAGAGCAGGAGGCCGACGUUUUCUCCGCAUUGGAAGAGCCCGCCGUAUGCAGGGGCCUGGAGGAAUCACUGGGGAUGGUGGCACAGGCACUGAACAGGCUGGGGCCUUUUGACGGCCUUCUUGGUUUCAGCCAAGGGGCUGCGCUAGCAGCCCUUGUGUGUGCCCUGGGCCAGGCAGGCGAUCCCCGCUUCCCCUUGCCACGGUUUAUCAUCUUGGUGUCUGGUUUCCGUCCCCGGGGCAUUGGGUUCAAGGAAUCCAUCCUGCAAAAGCCCUUGUCAUUGCCUUCGCUCCAUGUUUUUGGGGACACUGACAAAGUCAUCCCCUCUCAGGAGAGUAUGCAACUGGCCAGCCGAUUUCCCGGAGCCAUCACCCUCACCCACUCUGGUGGCCACUUCAUUCCAGCAGCUGCACCCCAGCGUCAGGCCUACCUCAAGUUCUUGGACCAGUUUGCAGAGUGAAAGAUCAAGAAAUGUCUCUGCUCCUACAUCCAGCUCCUGUAGGGGUAGCCUCCAUCAUCUGUGCCCUCCCAGGACCCCCCACUCACUGCUGUGAGUGUGCCUCACCAGGACCAGUUAAGAGACAACUAUCAAUUCUUGAUACCCAAAUUAUAUAGGCCCUGCCCUGUAUUGAAGAAAAGGGGAGCACAAGGCCUUAAUGGACACUGACUUGUGAAAACUCAAACAUGAAUAUGGUUAGAGCCCUGGAUUAGGAGGGUGACAUGGGGAAGGCAGAGGCUGGCACCAUGGUGACUGCCACAUAAUAAAGUGGUGAUUUGG